UACGUAGGGGGCAAGCGUUGUCCGGAUUUAUUGGGCGUAAAGAGCGUGUAGGCGGCCAGGUAGGUCAGCUGUGAAAACUCGAGGCUCAACCUCGAGAUGUCGGCUGAAACCAUCUGGCUAGAGUCCGGGAGAGGAGAGUGGAAUUCCUGGUGUAGCGGUGAAAUGCGCAGAUAUCAGGAAGAACACCCGUGGCGAAAGCGGCUCUCUGGAACGGUACUGACGCUGAGACGCGAAAGCGUGGGGAGCGAACAGG
rnacentral:rRNA from 1 species